rnacentral:rRNA from 1 species
UACAGAGGUCUCAAGCGUUGUUCGGAUUCAUUGGGCGUAAAGGGUGUGUAGGUGGCGCGCUAAGUCGGGUGUGAAAUUUCGGAGCUUAACUCCGAAACUGCAUUCGAUACUGGCGUGCUUGAGGACUGGAGAGGAGACUGGAAUUUACGGUGUAGCAGUGAAAUGCGUAGAUAUCAUGAGGAAUACCAGAGGCGAAGGCGGCUCCCUGGACAAUAGCUGACACUCAGGCACGAAAGCGUGGGGAGCAAAAGGG